GUCUCUGUCUCUCUCUCUCUCUCAGAUAUUUUAUUCAUUUUCCUCAAGUCCUUAAAUAAGAAACGUGGUAUCAAAGAAAAACAUAAUCCCACUGUUGCCUCACCCCAAAAAAAUUGGAACACUGUAUAUGAAGUGCCCGUCUAGUUUUCACUCAUGGCUGCUGCAAUAACUAAACUUCACAUAUACCCACAAGGCAUAGAUCAGUUUUCUUUCGGGGAACAACCGAGAAAUGGAUUACUUAGGCAAGGUUUUUUAUGGUCAGGUUCUGGUGGGGUACAUAGGGGACGUCAUGGUUUGUACGUGCAGAAGUGCAGGUCUUUUAGGUCUGAGGAUAGAGGAGCAGAAGUGGAAGAGAAACAGAACAUAAGUGAGGAAAAUUGUAGGGUGGUGAAGGAAAACGAGGACAAGUUGAAGAAGGGAGGUGGGCUCUGGAGUACUUUGAAAGAUGCUGUUUCUGGGUUUGGAAGGUCGGAUUCACAAUCAAAUGAGGAGCAUACGAAGGCAGUAGCUAAAUUGGAGGAGGUUCUCUCAUUGGUGAGUUGUAAAAUAGGUUAAUUUUGUAGAUUGUAAAAAUUUCAGGAAUAUGCAGGUAACUCAUUUCUAUUUUGUGUUCAUCAAAUUUUAAUAGUUUAUGUGUUCAACUGAACUCUAGUAUUUGCAGUUGAUAGAAUUUAAGAUUGAAUUUUUAAUUUUGAUAAUGUUCCUGUCACUUUGUUGGAAUUCAGUAGAAUGAUUAUUUAUAUUGUAAGCGUUUUUAAAUUCAUUUUGGUAACAAAUAACAAAAGCUUUGGCUUUCUAACAAUUUUUAUUUUCUCAUUGAACAAAACUAUGCUUAGCAUAACUAAUAAAAAUGAAAGAGAAACCGUAAAACUCAAAUUCCAUUAUUUUUCUUCAUAUGCAGCAAGAUUCAUUGAUGCUAUCUUUACUAAAAGUUUGGUAGUUGGAUAAUAUAUUCUUCAUUAUAAUUUGGCAAAUGCAAGUUCAAUUAAAACCUUUCUUUCAUUAUCCAGAUUGCUAUCCAAAUAGGAAGAUAUAUUGUCACUAUGAUGAGCACUGGUGUGAUACUUGCAGUUGGUUUUCACUUGUCAGGUGGAGACAGUCAAAUGAAUACACUGAUUUGGUAUAGCUGGCUUGGAGGAAUUAUUAUUGGAACUAUGGUAGGUGCUAACAUGGUUUUAGAUGAACAUUGUCGAGCUGGUCCGCGCAAUGUUGUUGUAACUGGAAGGUACUGCCUCCCUCUCCAUCUGCAGGCUUCAUGCAGUAGUUAGUUUUUCCAUAUCAAACUACAUGUAAUCCCACUACUUUUGCAAUUUAAAAGGUGAUGGGGGCUCCCGCAGAACUGCAUAUCCCUUUGAUGCAUAAACAAAUACAUCUCAGUGUUUCUUUAUCUGAUUUGUUAUUUUUGGGAACUUGGACAUAUUAAUGCUUCACUUGAAAUUAUUCUGUGUGAGGUAGUAUAAUUAAAAAUUUGACGUAAAAAUCCUGCUUAUGGAUUGGGAAAAUUUAUGCGAGUAUGUUCUUGCGCAUGUUUAAACUGUCUUGUUUAGCACAAGGGGACUCGGAAAGGCACUUGCUCGAGAAUUUCUUCUGUCUGGCGAUCGUGUGGUUAUUGCUUCACGCAGGUUGUAUACAAAAUCAUGAUAUUUGUUGUUUAUGGAUAUAUAGCAUUCUAUCUUUAUGAUAUCUGUACUCACAACUCCUCAUCCUUGCCUGGAUCUUUGCGAAGGCAGUCCUGAGUCUGUAGAUAUGACAGUCAAAGAGCUUGAAGAGAACCUCAGGGAGGGAAUGGUCACCACCAGUGGUUCAUCUAGGACAAAUCUAACACAUGCAAAAGUGGUUGGCAUAUCUUGUGAUGUUUGUGAACCUUCUGAUGUGCAGAAAUUGGCAAAUUUUGCUAUCAAUGAGUUUGGAUCCAUUGAUAUAUGGAUAAAUAAUGCUGGCACAAAUAAAGGAUUUAGACCCUUGCUGCAGUUUACUGAUGAAGAUAUUAAGCAGAUUGUUUCAACAAAUUUGGUUGGAUCUAUUCUCUGUACUCGAGAAGCAAUGCGUGUCAUGGUAAACCAACCGAAGGGGGGGCACAUUUUUAAUAUGGAUGGUGCUGGUUCUGGGGGAUCUAGUACCCCUCUUACAGCCGUUUAUGGAUCAACAAAGUGUGGUCUUAGGCAACUCCAAUCA
rnacentral:misc_RNA from 1 species